UAGAUCCUUAUAAUUUUGCAAAAGGUAAUAAUUUGAUACUCUACAACAAGUUAUCGUCCUCACAACUGUCAGCCUAUCAGCUCGCUCGAAAUUCGCUUUGACAAUUUCAUAGUAUCUUCCGUCACUAAAAAGAAAUAUUCUGAUAUCGAUGGCUUUCUGACUUUUGUCCGAAAAUCGCAAGUUUUCCGGAUCCCAUCGCAACUCCAAACGCUCCAAAUUGGGACAGUUAUUGGCGAUUCCGUCCAUUAAUUGAUCCACGUGAAUGUUAACUCCUAGCCUCUCUUGAGUGCCCAUUACAAGAACUUGUGCAGAGCCUCGUCGGUCAGAUUAUCGGACCUAUCGAGAUCCAGCGCUAUUAAGUUCCUGGUAUUUCCCAACUCGGCCCACGACUUCAGCACGUUAUCGUUGAAACUGUUCAGUUGACCGGCACUAAGGAACCGUAGCCCGGGGAUUCUGGUUAGCAUGUCGAUCAGGCAUUCCGUCGACAGUCGCAGAGCCAUUGUGUCACAGCCGUUUGCCGCCGUCACGAAGCUUCGAUAGUUUCAGCAGACUAAUUCCAAGGUUUGACUCUGAUUUUUUUCAUGCAUCUAGCCUAUCAGUCGUUCGCGUUCGUUAAAUGAAAAGUAGCGUACUCGGUCAUCUCGGUCGUGAUGUUCGUAUAGACGUCCGUCUGCGUUCUGCGAGAAGGAGAAAAAUUGUAACUAAAAUAAUCGCGUGUUUCCCGAAACGCUUUCUCAAAAUAGACGCACUGGAGUGCUCCGCGAGCACAAGCACCUCGUGCGGGCGAUCUCAUUCGAGCGAGAAGAGGCGGCCGAUGCACAUUUUUUGGAGUCCGUCAAAAAAAAAAA